UGGGGAAUAUUGGGCAAUGGGCGCAAGCCUGACCCAGCAACGCCGCGUGAAGGAAGAAGGCUUUCGGGUUGUAAACUUCUUUUCUCAGGGACGAAGCAAGUGACGGUACCUGAGGAAUAAG
rnacentral:rRNA from 1 species